rnacentral:rRNA from 1 species
UACGUAGGGGGCAAGCGUUGUCCGGAAUCAUUGGGCGUAAAGCGCGUGUAGGCGGCUGGGUAAGUCCGCUCUGAAAGCCCGGGGCUCAACCCCGGGAGGCGGGUGGAUACUGCUCAGCUCGAGUCCGGAAGAGGAGUGUGGAAUUCCUGGUGUAGCGGUGAAAUGCGCAGAUAUCAGGAAGAACACCCGUGGCUAAGGCGGCUCUCUAGUACGGUACUGACGCUGAGACGCGAAAGCGUGGGGAGCGAACAGG